rnacentral:rRNA from 1 species
CCCUUAGAUGUUCUGGGCCGCACGCGCGCUACACUGAUGCAUUCAACGAGUGUACCUUGGCCGAGAGGCCUGGACAAUCUUUUGAACGUGCAUCGUGAUAGGGAUAGAUUAUUGCAAUUAUUAAUCUUGAACGAGGAAUUCCUAGUAAACGCAGUUCAUCAAACUGCAUUGAUUACGUCCCUGCCCUUUGUACACACCGCCCGUCGCUCCUACCGAUUGAGUGGUCCGGUGAGGCUUUGGGAUCUGAGCGGAAAGAGCGUUUCGCUGUUUCUGCUCGGAAAACUCAGUCGAACCUUAUCAUUUAGAGGAAGGAGAAGUCGUAACA